UACGUAGGUGGCAAGCGUUGUCCGGAUUUAUUGGGUUUAAAGGGUGCGUAGGUGGCCUAUUAAGUCAGUGCUGAAAUAUCCCGGCUUAACCGGGAGGGUGGCAUUGAUACUGAUGGGCUUGAGUAAAGUUGAGGUAGGCGGAAUUGACGGUGUAGCGGUGAAAUGCUUAGAUAUCUGGAGGAAUACCGGUGGCGAAGGCGGCAUCCUGGACCGACAUUGACGCUGAGGAGCGAAAGCCAGGGGAGCAAACGGG
rnacentral:rRNA from 1 species